GACAGAGGGUGCAAACGUUGUUCGGAAUUACUGGGCGUAAAGCGCGUGUAGGCGGUCUUGUAAGUCGGAUGUGAAAGCCCCGGGCUCAACCCGGGAAGUGCACUCGAUACUGCGAGGCUAGAGUACUGGAGAGGUUGGUGGAAUUCUCGGUGUAGAGGUGAAAUUCGUAGAUAUCGAGAGGAACACCGGUGGCGAAGGCGGCCAACUGGACAGAUACUGACGCUGAGACUCGAAAGCGUGGGGAGCAAACAGG
rnacentral:rRNA from 1 species